AGAGUUUGAUUAUGGCUCAGGACAAACGCUGGCGGCGUGCCUAACACAUGCAAGUCGAACGGACCCUUCGGGGUUAGUGGCAGACGGGUGAGUAACACGUAGGUAAUGUACCUUCUCGCUGGGGAUACCUACCCGAAAGGGUGGUUAAUACCGAAUGGUCUCGCGCUGCGGCAUCGCGGUGCGAGUAAAGUGAUUAAGCGCGAGAGGAUCAGCCUGCGGGCCAUCAGCUGGUUGGUGGGGUAACGGCCUACCAAGGCAUCGACGGUUAGCCGGUCUGAGAGGAUGAUCGGCCACACUGGAACUGAGAGACGGUCCAGACUCCUACGGGAGGCAGCAGUGAGGAAUAUUGCGCAAUGGGCGGAAGCCUGACGCAGCGACGCCGCGUGAGGGAUGAAGGUUUUCGGAUCGUAAACCUCUGUUAAGCAGGGAAGAGAACGGACGGUACCUGCUGAGGAAGCAUCGGCUUACUACGUGCCAGCAGCCGCGGUAAUACGUAGGAUGCGAGCGUUGUCCGGAUUUACUGGGCGUAAAGAGCUUGUAGGCGGGAAUGCACGUCUUCGAUGAAAUUGCACGGCUUAACCGUGCAGCUAUUGGAGAUACGGUAUUUCUUGAGGGCAGAAGAGGAGAACGGAAUUCCCAGUGUAGCGGUGAAAUGCGUAGAUAUUGGGAAGAACACCGGCGGCGAAGGCGGUUCUCUGGUCUGUCACUGACGCUAAAGAGCGAAGGCGUGGGUAGCGAACGGGAUUAGAUACCCCGGUAGUCCACGCGGUAAACGAUGGAUACUAGGUGUAUGAGGUAUUGACCCCUUAUGUGCCGCAGCUAACGCAUUAAGUAUCCCGCCUGGGGGAGUACGGCCGCAAGGUUGAAACUCAAAGGAAUUGACGGGGGCCCGCACAAGUGGUGGAGCAUGUGGGUUUAAUUCGACGCUACGCGAAGAACCUUACCUGGGUUUGACAUGGACCGGAAUAAUUUAGAGAUAGAUUAGCCUUCGGGCCGGUUCACAGGUGCUGCAUGGCUGUCGUCAGCUCGUGCCGUGAGGUGUUGGGUUAAGUCCCGCAACGAGCGCAACCCCUAUUUUCAGUUACUAACGCGUAAUGGUGAGGACUCUGGAGAGACUGCCGUUAUAAGACGGAGGAAGGUGGGGAUGACGUCAAGUCAGCAUGGCCCUUACGUCCAGGGCUACACACGUGCUACAAUGGUCGGUACAAAGGGCAGCGAGCUCGCGAGGGUAAGCGAAUCCCGCAAAGCCGAUCUCAGUCCGGAUUGCAGGCUGCAAUUCGCCUGCAUGAAGUCGGAAUCACUAGUAACCGCAGAUCAGCUACGCUGCGGUGAAUACGUUCCCGGGCCUUGUACACACCGCCCGUCACGUCAUGAGAGUUAGACUUACCAGAAGCUGCCGAGCUAACCUUCGGGGGGCGGGCAUCGUAGGUAGGCCUAGCGAUUGGGACGAAGUCGUAACAAGGUAGCC
rnacentral:rRNA from 1 species